UUGACGGUACCCUACUAGAAAGGAGCCGCUAACUUCGUGCCAGAAGCGUCGGUAAUACGGGGGCUCCAAGCGUUAUCCGGUGUUAUUGGGCGUAAAGAGUCGUGUAGGUGGUUGGGUAAGUUAUCUUUCCAAAUAUCUUUGCUUAACAAAGAGGAGGGGGAUAAUACUGCUCGACUAGAAUUUUCUCAAGGGAGAUCGGAACUGAGGGAGGAGUAGUGAAAUGCGUUGAUACCCUCGGGAACACCAGUGGCGUAGGCGGAUCUCUGGGAGAAGAUUGACACUGAGACACGAAAGCUAGGGGAGCGAAGCAGAUUAGAGACCUGCGUAGUCCUAGCCGUAAACGCAUGCUUGCUAGCUGCAUGAAUCUACCUUCGGGUGGUAUCGUGUAGCGAAGGUAACCCGUUAAGCAAGCCGCCUGGAAAGUACGGCCGCAAGGCUGAAAUUCAAAGGAAUUGGCGGGGAGGCACACAACCAGUGGAACAUGUGGUUUAAUUCGAGACUAACCGAAGAACCUCACCAGGGUUUGACAUGUAGCUGCACGUCUUAAGAAAUUAAGACUCUCUUGAAGGUGCUACACAGGUGCUGCAUGGCUGUCGUCAGCUCGUUCCGUGAGGAGUGCCCUUAAGUGGGACAACGAGCGCAACCCCUAUUACAUGUUAGAAAUGUCAUGUAAGACUGCCUUGCCAUUUGGCGGGGAGGAAGGAGGGGCAGACGUCAAGUCCGCAUGGUCCUUAUGCCCUGGGCUACACACAUGUUACAAUGAGUACGGCAAUGAGUCUGUCGCGAGCACGUAAGUGUAAGCUAAUCUCUUAAAUGUACUCUCAGUGGGGAUUGAGGUCUGCAACUCGACCUCAUGAACACGGAAUUGGUAGUACUCGCGGGUCAGCUAUACCGCGGUGAUACGUUCUUGCCUCUUGCACACACCGCCCGUCAAACCAGCAAAGU
rnacentral:rRNA from 1 species